UGAAAUUAUAUUGUUUAUCAUUAUAUCUUUCUACAUAUUCUUAGUCGAUGAGACAAUUGUAAGCCGUUUUAUUAUUCUUAUGUGCCAGCUUUAACUAUUCUUGGACAAGGCUUAUUUCCUUUGUGGUUCUUUUCUUAGCUCGGCUACUGCGGAGGUGCUGAUGUUUAAAGUUCAAAGCUGAGAUAAAUGUUAUGGAUAUCCUGUCAGUUGAUUCCAGCCUUAAGAACCUAUUCAUACAUUUAGACAGAUACUAUUACUGCUGGAAUUCUUGGAAUUUAACUGGAUGGAUGGAAUUUACUGCUGGAAUUCUUGAAAAAUAAUGCAAUUUCACUAUAGGCAAAUCUGGCUUUUUACUGCAUCACCAAAGAUAUUACAAAAUCCUUGGUUAUUCAAAAUCUUUUUGUAUUACAGGAACAUGAAGGUAAAUAUGUGGCGAUUCGAAGCACAUAUAGUAUUUAUUUAAUAAUGAGGGGCAAAACUGGGCCACCUUGUUUUCCCCCGCCCCGUUUCCCUUGAUUUGUGAUAAACCCGUAGCGGGUCAUGCCAUUUACUUACCAUUUAAUCCGCACCGCUUAAUCGAGCAUCUUUCGUCUAGAGAUUUUUCUAACCAUGUACUUGUGUCUUCUUCGUCACUUUCUCGGGGUUUGAAUCCAAGACCUUUAUUUUACAUAGCCAAUGCUCUACCACUGAGCUACUGCUUGCAUAUUACUUCAAAUUACUUCUUCAUAUGAUUUAUGUACCUAAGUGAAAAUGACGAUAGAGCCUCAAAUGUCAAUGGAGGGAAUAAAAUUUCCCUUUGGUUCCAAAAAAA